AGGACGAACGCUGGCGGCGUGCUUAACACAUGCAAGUCGAGCGGAAAGGCCCUUCGGGGUACUCGAGCGGCGAACGGGUGAGUAACACGUGAGUAAUCUGCCCAUCGCUUCAGGAUAGCCAUCGGAAACGGUGAUUAAUACUGGAUAUGACAUUCCUUCGCAUGUUGGGGUGUGGAAAGUUUUUUCGGCGGUGGAUGUGCUCGCGGCCUAUCAGCUUGUUGGUGGGGUAAUGGCCUACCAAGGCUUUGACGGGUAGCCGGCCUGAGAGGGUGACCGGCCACACUGGGACUGAGACACGGCCCAGACUCCUACGGGAGGCAGCAGUGGGGAAUAGUUGGACAAGUGGGCGGAAGCCUGAUCCAGCAACGCCGCGUGAGGGAU
rnacentral:rRNA from 1 species